AAUAAUAUCAAUUAAUUAAUUAAUCGAUGUGUAAAAAAAAUGUACCUUUUGUAUAAUGAGCCAACGAGUAUAUUUAUUUAGCAAGCAUUAAUUAUUGCACAAGUAACAUAUUUUAGUUAAAUAAAUAUAAACCCGAAAUUAAGUGAUCUAAUAAUGAAUAUAAUUAUCAUGUUAGUUAUAAUUCGUGAAUGUUGCAAAAUUCUGAAGUGAUUUGUUAUUAGGGGUGAAAGGCUAAUCAAACUUAAAUAUAGCUGGUUUUCUGUGAAAUAUAUAUAAGUAUAGUGUUAUUAUAAAUUAAAAAGGUAAAUAAAUGUUUCAACCCGUAUAACUAUUUAUUGUUAUAAGAAAAAGCUGCUGAGAUAUUAAUUUUUUAAUUUUAUUAAUAAUACACGGAUUAUUUACGCAAAAGUAAAUAAUCAAAAGGGAAACAACCCAGAUUUAUAAAUAAAGCACUAAAUGUAUAUUUUUAUAUAAAAUGAAAUAAUUAAAUUAAUAAAAUAGUAAGCUUGGAAACAGCUAUCUAAUAAUAAGUACGUAACAGUUUAUUUAUUAAAUAUUUAAAAAUUAAUAAUUUUAAAUUAAUUAUUUUAUUUAGAAAUGUAAUGGUAACAUAUAUACAGCUGAAUUUUAAAAUUUAUAUAUAACAUUAUAAAUGGUAACAGAAUGAUAUGUAAAUAACGAAAUUAAAUUGAAAAAUUUAAGGCUUUAUCAUAUGUAUUUAUGUUGGUAUCAGUAAUAAAAUAAUAUGAGAAAUAUUAUAAUAUAUUACUACGAGUUAUUUAAUAACGAUAAUCUUAUUAAAUGUGAAACGAUUUCUAAAAUUAAUUUAUUAAUAAUUGAAUGAAUCUAUAUAAGUAAAUUGAAUAUAUUAUUUAAUUCUAUAUGAUAUUAUAAACAUAACUAAAUUAUAAAAAUUUAAUUUAGGGGUUUGUAAUGGUAAUAGCAUUUUGUUUUAUAAUAUUGCAAAGAUCAAAACAUAUAUAGUAUGAUCGUAUUCAAUCUAACACAUGUAGUAAAAUUUUUUAUUUAUAUUACAAUAUUAAUAAUACUGAAGGAACUCGGCAAAUUAUAUCUGUAACUUCGGGAUAAAGAUAACGUAUAGUGUAAUUUAAAAAAAGGCAGCGACUGUUUCUUAAAAACACAAGAUUUUGAAAAAAUAAUGUAUAAUAAAAUCUGACACCUGCCCAAUGCUGUAAAGUGAAAUGUAUAAAAUAGUAUUUUAUCUAUAAACUCCAGUAAAUGGCGGCUGUAACCAUAACGGUCCUAAGGUAGCGAAAUUCCUUGUCGGGUAAGUUCCGUCCUGCAUGAGUGGUGUAACGACUGCCUUGCUGUCUCCAGUAUUAUUAUUAUGAAGUUAUAUGAGUUGUGAAGAUACAAUGAUUAACAAUUAGACGGAAAGACCCUAUGCACCUUUACUAUAAAUUUAAAUAAUAAAUUGUUUUUUAAAAUAAACUAUAGUGUAUUUUAUUAAAUUAAUUAUAUUAUAAACAUAUUUAUAAAUAUUUAAAUAGGUUAGUUUAACUGGGGCGGUUACCUUCUAAAAAGUAACGAAGGGAUUUAUAAACUUAUAAAAUAUUAUAUAUAUUAAAAUAAAUUUAUAUAGGUUGAUUAUUAUAUAAACAAAUAUAAUAAGGACAAGUUGUCUAAUAUAUUGACCCGAUAUUAAAUAUUGGAAUUAAUAUCGCUUAAUGGAUAAAAGGUACGCUAGGGAUAACAGGCUGAUAUAUUUUGAGAGUUCUUAUUGAUGAAUUUGUUUGGCACCUCGAUGUCGGCUCAUCAUAUCCUUAUGGAGCAAGGGCUAUAAAGGGUUUGGCUGUUCGCCAAUUAAAAUGGUACGUGAGCUGGGUUUAAAACGUCGUGAGACAGUUUGGUCCCUAUCUGUUGUUAUAAAAUAAUUAUUUUAUUAUUUACUUUAGUACGCAAGGACUGAGAAGUAAAAACCUAUGGUUUAAAAAUUAUUUAUUUGUACAGUUUUUAAGCUAAGUUUUUGUAUUAAUUUUAAUAUAAAAAAAAUACAAUAAAAUUAAUUAUUAAUAGUGAAACAAAUUAUGUUUUUUAUAAUAUUAUUAUGGAACAUUAGAAAUAUAAUAGAUUAUAAAUAAUUACAAAUAAUUACAAAUAAUUAU
rnacentral:rRNA from 1 species